rnacentral:rRNA from 1 species
UGAGGAACAUGACCUUUCGGCGGGGGAGAGCCGGCCCAACGGCCGGGUAAUACCGCGUACGACCUCUCGGGGACAUCCCCGGUUGGUGAAAGCAGCAAUGCACCGAAAGAGUGCCUCGCGGCCUAUCAGCUAGUUGGUGGGGUAACGGCUCACCAAGGCGACGACGGGUAGCUGGUCUGAGAGGAUGGCCAGCCACAUUGUGACUGAGACACGGCCCAGACUCCUACGGGAGCANCAGG